CUGGCGCGCUGUUGUUAACUCGGCUAUAAUCGCGUAAGCGGUGACUACGCCAAUCAAGAAGAAGAAGAGUCAACUGAAAACAAAAUCGAAGAAGACAUUUUUGAAGUGGAUGCAUCGUUGUGGGAUGUUAUUGAAAACUAUUGCUUAGUUUACAGUCCAUUGCAGAAAACAGUAAAAAAAUUUCGAGGAGAGCAACUGCAUUAUGAAAAUUUUUACGCCCAAUGGCUAAAAUUAAAAAUUUGCACAGAAAAAAUUGUAAAUGAUGCAACUCACGAUAUGACAAGAACGAUUGGCGAAAAUAUUCUGAGCUCUAUAGAAAGGCGUUCGAAAAUAUUAUUAAAUAAUAAAUUUCUCAUUUCGUGCUUUUUUUUAUCCUCGUUUCCAACAUACACUAACACCACAGCGAAAAAAUUAUGCAGCGAAGCAUUUAAAAUCGAUAUGCGGCAGAAUAAAUGACAUAAAUUCUACUGGACAGUUAUGCUAAACACCGAAUUCGGGCUCACAUCAAUCUGUGAACCAUUUUUUAAUUAAGAAGAUGAAUUGUUAAACGCUUACUUAGAGCAAGGGAUCCAAACGGAAGUCAGUAGUACAUUCGACGUCUACUCAAAGAUUGACAAUCUUCAACUUCCUUUCCAAAGAAUCGAUGCAGGCGUUCUCACAGUUUGGAAAGGAAAGCAGUGCACUGACCAGGAGCUAUAUGCACUUAGUAAUUUUUGCUUUGCUGUACCACCAACUCAGGUGACGAUUGAACGAGCAUUUUCGACGUUAAGACUUGUACUUACUGAUUACCGAAAUCGACUAAGUCAGGAAGUACUAGAGAAUAUACUGCUGGUCAAAUUGAAUCCAAGCUUUCUGGACUCAGCGAUUGAUAACUUAUCUCUUUUUCAAGAUG
rnacentral:misc_RNA from 1 species